rnacentral:lncRNA from 1 species
AAAAUAAAAAAGAAAAAAGGAAAAAAAAAGAAAAGGUGUUGCUUAUUUUUCGUUUUCAUCCGUUUUAUCUGUAAAGAAUCAGUUCAACUAGAUCGACUGUUUCUAGUAUAAGUGAUAAAGAGCUUGGUGGUUAGUAUUCGAUAUUUCAAAUUUGAAUUCUAAUUAAUUGAAUAUUAUCUUUCUCUCUCUCUCAAAAAAAAAGAAAAAAAAGAAAAAAAAAAA